CAGCAUUUUAUCACAGCAUAAAGAACUGGUAAUGGCCACAAGCAUCCAAAAACAAAUUAACAAGAUAUUAAAAAAAUCAGCAGGGAACCAGUACCACAAAGUUUAAGAUAGACAAAUUGUUUAACACAUCAAAGUAAUCCACAUGGUUUAAUAGCAAAUAAAGUUAAAGUGGGUCAACCAGUCAAGGCUUCCUGUUGUGUCCUUGUAAGCCAAAAAGUGGGAAAUUUGAUGGUACUGCCAAAAAAAUCAGUUGUUGAGGCACAAGUCCAUCAGAUGUUUUCUAUCUCAAAUUCAGUUUAUAUAUGGGAAUGUAAACAGAUAGAUAAAAAUUCUCUUCCAAGACCCUAGUGAGCUUAGUGAGCCUAGUGAG
rnacentral:misc_RNA from 1 species